rnacentral:pre_miRNA from 1 species
AUAACAUUCGGACCAUCGGUCUAUCGAGCAAAGUCACCAGCUUGACGGAAGACCUUCCCUUUGUUGU